rnacentral:rRNA from 1 species
GAUGAACGCUGGCGGCGUGCCUAAUACAUGCAAGUCGAGCGAAUGGAUUAAGAGCUUGCUCUUAUGAAGUUAGCGGCGGACGGGUGAGUAACACGUGGGUAACCUGCCCAUAAGACUGGGAUAACUCCGGGAAACCGGGGCUAAUACCGGAUAACAUUUUGAACCGCAUGGUUCGAAAUUGAAAGGCGGCUUCGGCUGUCACUUAUGGAUGGAGCCGCGUCGCAUUAGCUAGUUGGUGAGGUAACGGCUCACCAAGGCAACGAUGCGUAGCCGACCUGAGAGGUUGAUCGGCCACACUGGGACUGAGACACGGCCCAGACUCCUACGGGAGGCAGCAGUAGGGAAUCUUCCGCAAUGGACGAAAGUCUGACGGAGCAACGCCGCGUGAGUGAUGAAGGCUUUCGGGUCGUAAAACUCUGUUGUUAGGGAAGAACAAGUGCUAGUUGAAUAAGCUGGCACCUUGACGGUACCUAACCAGAAAGCCACGGCUAACUACGUGCCAGCAGCCGCCGUAA